rnacentral:rRNA from 1 species
AGCGAACGCUGGCGGCAGGCCUAACACAUGCAAGUCGAACGAUCCUUCGGGAUAGUGGCGGACGGGUGAGUAACACGUGGGAACGUGCCCUUUGGUUCGGAACAACUCAGGGAAACUUGAGCUAAUACCGGAUGAGCCCUUCGGGGGAAAGAUUUAUCGCCAUUGGAGCGGCCCGCGUCUGAUUAGCUAGUUGGUGAGGUAAUGGCUCACCAAGGCGACGAUCAGUAGCUGGUCUGAGAGGAUGAUCAGCCACACUGGGACUGAGACAAGGCCCAGACUCCUACGCGAGGCAGCAGUGGGGAAUCUUGCGCAAUGGGCGAAAGCUUGACGCAGCCAUGCCGCGUGAAUGAUGAAGGUCUUAGGAUUGUAAAAUUCUUUCACCGGGGACGAUAAUGACGGUACCCGGAGAAGAAGCCCCGGCUAACUUCGUGCCAGCCGCCGCGGUAACAC